ensembl:lncRNA
UUCAAAAAUUAAGUGACAAAUAUGAAGCAAGCGAAAAGAAAUAUAAAGAUUUAAUCAAUGCAAAUGAGAAAAAACGAAAAGUUAAAAGUACAAAUUCAGCUGGAGAUAGUGGAAGUGACACUAGGGAUGAUGGUAGUAUUGAUUACGUUAAUGGUGAUGAUAAAAAUAAUGUAACUAAACGAUAUGUAUCAAAGAUAAAAGAACUUAACAAACGAAUUGAAAAAGAAUGUAAAUUAAAAGAGAGUUACAUGGAAAAAAAUAAGAAAUUAAAAAUGUCACUAGAUAUGUUACAAAAAAAAGAAACAACAAUUAUGUCAAGUGAACAUAGUAAUGUUAAAACUGUUGGUAAAAAUAAUUCUACAUUUGUUAUGAAUAGGUCCAAAUCAUUUGAUGAAUUUGAAAUUAAAAAAAAAAAAAAAAAAAAUAGCACUAGCACUAGUACUAGCACUACUGGAAGCAAUGACGAAAACAAGGCUACGAGCAAUAGCAUAAUCAAUGAACAUGAUGUAUUUUUAGGAAAAGAAUUAUCUUAUUAUAAAAUCCUUUGUAAGGAGUUAAAAAUAGAAUUGGAUAAACUGAAAAAAGAAAAAAGGAAAAACAACAAAGAGGUUACCAGUACUAAUUAUAGUAGUGAAGAUGACAUAGAGUGUACAAGCACAAACAGGUGUGACACUAUAAGGAUAGAUGGAAAUGGAAAAAAAAGUUAUAAUAAUAAUGACUAUAGUAAAUAUUCCAUUUCAGACGAAAAGAAUAAGUUAGAUGAAUAUAAAAAAGAUGAUGAUAAAAAAGAUGAAGAUAAAAAAGAUGAAGAAAUAAAAAAUCUUAAAAAAAGAUUGAACGAGUAUGAAGUAGAAAUAAGAAAAUUGAAUGAACUUAGAAUGGUAAAUGCUACGAUAAAUAAACAGAAUGAAUUAGUUAAAAAUAUUGAGUGUGACUCUUUGUAUGAUAGGACUAUAAAUGAAAAUGAUACGAAUGAAGGUAUGAGCAAUAACUAUGAUGAGUUAUUUUUUGAUGAAAAUAAAAAUGAGGAGAAUAGUUUAACAAACAAAGAAGACUCUGUUAAAAAUAUAAAUAACUUAAGCAAAAUGAUAAAAAGUAAAAAUAAUGAAAUAUAUCAUUUAAAAAAUCGUGUUGUCUUAUUAGAAACGGAAUUACAAAUUAAAAAUGAAACAGAAAUUAGAUAUAAGCAAAAGUUAAAAAUGACAGGAAAAGAAUUUGAAAGUGGUAAUAUUAGUGUUGAUACUAGUACUGACACAGGUAUGGGUACUGACAUUGUUGCUAAGACUGGAAAAGGUAAAAGUUGUAAUAAAAGUAAAAAUGGUCGACAUCGUAGUAUUGAUAGUGUACGUAGUAGAGGUAGCCGUGGUAGUAGUAGUAGUAGUAGUAAUAGUAGUAAGAAAGCAAAAGAAAGUAAAAAAAACAUAGAGAGUAAUACCCAAUUAGUUGAACUAAAAAAAGAAAUGAGAAGCAAAAAAGAAGAAGUAAAAGAAUUAAAAUUAUUAUUAGAAGAUGCAAAAAAAGAAUUAAAAGAAGAGAAAAAGAAAAGUUUAAAUUAUGAAAAACAGUAUAAUAAAGAAAAAAGUGAAGUAAAUAUAUUAAAAGAAGAGAUAAAAAUUUUAGAAAAGGAUAUUUCAAAAAAAAAAAAAGAAUCUGCUAUAAGUAAGAAUACAUUAAAUAAUUUAAAAUUAGAAUCCGACGAAUUUAAUAACAUCAUAAAUUGUUCGAAUGAAACUAAAAAACAAUUAACUGAUUAUAUACAUAAUUUAUUAAAUACAUUAAGUGAAUAUAAUGAAAAAGUUGAUGAACUAAAAGAUAGUAACACAAUAGAAAAGAAAAAAAAUGAAAGAAAUAAAGAAGAGUUAAAAAAAUUAAAAGAUGACCUACUAGAUUCUAGUAAUCAAAUAGAUGAACUCGCAUCAUUAUUAGAUAAGAAAGAUGAAUUGAUUGAAAAUCUUAAAUUAAAAAUGGAAACAAUUAAUAAAGAGUAUGCUGAUUUGACAUUACAAUAUAAUAAUAUAAUAAAAGAAAGUCAGAGUUUACAUUUGAUUAAUUCAUCACAUAACGCUAACAGUUCUUUAAUAAUACAACAG